rnacentral:siRNA from 1 species
UUUAGAUGGUAGUUCAAGUAUU